GGGUGCAGCAGGCGCGAAAACUUUACAAUGCGGGAAACCGUGAUAAGGGGACACCGAGUGCCAGCAUCAUAUGCUGGCUGUCCAGGUGUGUAAAAUACACCUGUUAGCAAGGGCCGGGCAAGACCGGUGCCAGCCGCCGCGGUAACACCGGCGGCCCGAGUGGUGAUCGUGAUUAUUGGGUCUAAAGGGUCCGUAGCCGGUUUGGUCAGUCCUCCGGGAAAUCUGAUAGCUUAACUAUUAGGCUUUCGGAGGAUACUGCCAGACUUGGAACCGGGAGAGGUAAGAGGUACUACAGGGGUAGGAGUGAAAUCUUGUAAUCCCUGUGGGACCACCUGUGGCGAAGGCGUCUUACCAGAACGGGUUCGACGGUGAGGGACGAAAGCUGGGGGCACGAACCGGAUUAGAUACCCGGGUAGUCCCAGCCGUAAACGAUGCUCGCUAGGUGUCAGGCAUGGCGCGACCGUGUCUGGUGCCGCAGGGAAGCCGUGAAGCGAGCCACCUGGGAAGUACGGCCGCAAGGCUGAAACUUAAAGGAAUUGGCGGGG
rnacentral:rRNA from 1 species